GACAGUUGGUACAGACAGUGACUGUUAGUGGCAAUCACAGAGGAAGUGGCUCCUACUUUUCUAAGGACCCGGAUGACUGGCCCUUUCCGAGACCGCUGAUGAACCAGGAGCAUUACUGAGGCCUUGCACAGGGGAUAGGAUUUGGCUCAGUGCUGUGUCUUUUUGGUGAUAGCUACCCAUAUUAGUGCAAAAUGUCACAGGAACACCAGAUCUGCCAGCACCAAAAGGCUGCUCCUCCGACAGCCCAGAUGGAUCCACAAGUUCCUUCCUGGAAAGGAUUAUACAAGGAAGAUGAAAUUCCAGAAGCUACCAAAUCCAUAACAAUGUAUUCCUUCAUUUUAUUAGACCACAAAGAUUUUCUGGAACCAGCUGUGUUCAGCAUUAAAGCUAUCUAGAUGUCAACAUAGGAAACCUAUUUAGAAGUGUGCCUAAAAUCUUGAUCACUUCCCCUGUGUGUUGUAUCCUAUUUCCCCACUCUCUAUCUGUUCUAGUCUUUUCAGACUCUAUGAUCUGUGGCACAGGCACCGUAUCUUCAUACAUGCCCACAACGAGUAGAAGAGGGGCCCUGAUCCUAACUGGUGAUGUACUGAAAAAUAAAUAGUAAAAAUAAGAGCAUUUUGGAGUCUAGAUAGGAACACACCUUAAAUGUACUAGACAAUAGACAGACAUCAUAGAUGGACAGAAAGAAAAAAAUUAUAAAGUUUUCUAAAAGGCAGUGGGCUUGAUUCUUCUCUGCCCUGAGCAGAGUGGAUAUAGCCAUUACCAAAUCAGAAUGGUAGUGUUUUACAUCCACACUGCAUGACAUAACUGACUAAAUAAGGUGCAGAGCAGUAGUACAUCUGACCUAAUGGCUGUCCUUCCUAAAUAGAGGCACCCUAUACUGUACCUCCAAGUGUCACUAGUUCCAGCCAUGUCCUGUCUUACUGUGUAUUACAUCCAAAUGCUGAACAUUCCUAAAGGCUAAUUUCAUUCUAGCAAAAUGUUUUACCCACACAUUGGUUUUAUAAUUUAUAUAAAGGAACAAAAAGUUUCAAAGUAACAAUACUUACUGAAUAUGUUUCCAUAACUCUUCCUUUGCUUGUACAUCUGGGCUUCUCCUAUAAACACCAAAACACACACAAAAGAGAGUCAGAUCUAUGAAAAUGUCAUAUUACCUGAUGUGUUGCAGCACAGUGAUGACCUUUAAUGGCACACAUCAAGGACAGAAAUCAUGCCAAGUGUAAUCUGACACUGACUUGAAUGUUAAACUUUGUUAUCUGCGGGAAAGAAUUAAAAUUCACUGAAACUGAAAAGUCAUUUCUUGAAUGAAAGGCUCUGAGUUGAAUCACAAUUUCUUUUCCUCUUGCCUUCAGCAAAAGUAUGUAUAAACCGUUCCAAGCAAAAGAGUUCUUCAUUACAAGCUGAAGCAAGCUAGAGCCACCUCUGCCUCACCCUAUCCCACAUGAACUUGGCACAGCUGAGGACUGAGGCCUCUCAGGGUGUCUACACUGCAUCUGGGAACAAGCCUCCCAGUCUUAGUAGUCAGUCGUGCUAGUAAGGCUCACACGAGUGCUCUACACUGUAAAGGGCUGUCCAUAAAUUACACAACGCAUUAGGUGAUGGGUGGGUUCUAAAUUUUGCAUGUUUGAUUCCGUGUAACAGAGUAUUACAAGGGAGUAGGUGGGUCUUGAAAAUCAACAAAUAAUGCAGCAAAGAGUCCUGUGGCACCUUAUAGACUAACAGACGUUUUGGAGCAUGAGCUUUCGUGGGUGAAUACCCACUUCGUCGGAUGCAUGUAAUGGAAAUUUCCAGGGGCAGG